CAGCCGCCGCGGUAACACCAGCCCCUCGAGUGGUGGGGACUAUUAUUUGGCCUAAAGCGUCCGUAGCUGGCUGUAUCUGUCUCCCGGUAAAUCCGGCGUCCUAAGCGUCGGUUCUCGGGUGAUACCAUACAGCUAGAGGGUGGGAUAGGUGAGCGGUAUUUCUGGGGUGGGGGCGAAAUCCUUUGAUCCCAGGAGGACCACCAGUGGCGAAGGCUGCUCACUAGAACACGCCUGACGGUCAGGGACGAAAGCUGGGGCAGCGAACCGGAUUAGAUACCCGGGUAGUCCCAGCUGUAAACGAUGCUAGCUAGGUGUUGGGUCGGCCACGCGCCGCCCCAGUGCCGCAGGGAAGCCGUUAAGCUAGCCGCCUGGGGAGUACGGCCGCAAGGCUGAAACUUAAAGGAAUUGGCGGGGGAGCAC
rnacentral:rRNA from 1 species